AAGACCCCCCAGCGGAAAAAUGGCCAAAAAACGGGUGGGCUAUAGCCUUGGUGGGGGGCGUGGGCGAAGUUCUUCCGCCGGACUCGGAAUGGCCCCAGACUUUGCGGGCGGCCUCCGUGUGCCAAAAAUAGGCCACGGGCACAGCCGCGCCCAAAAAUCAGCCCCCGAAGGUCGGGGCGCCAAGACCCCCCAGCGGAAAAAUGGCCAAAAAACGGGUGGGCUAUAGCCUUGGUGGGGGGCGUGGGCGAACUUCGUCCGCCGGACUCGGAAUGGCCCCAGACUUUGCGAGCGACCUCCGUGUGCCAAAAAUAGGCCACGGGGAAAGCCGUGCCCAGAAAUGAGCCCCUGAAUGUCGGGGCGCCAAGACCCCCCAGCGGAAAAAUUGCCAAAAAACGGGUGGGCUAUAGCCUUGGUGGGGGGCGUGGGCGAACUUCGUCCGCCGGACUCGGAAUGGCCCCAGACUUUGCGGGCGACCUCCGUGUGCCAAAAAUAGGCCACGGGCAAAGCCGUGCCCAGAAAUGAGCCCCUGAAUGUCGGGGCGCCUAGACACCCCAGCGGAAAAAUUGCCAAAAAACGGGUGGGCUAUAGCCUUGGUGGGGGGCGUGGGCGAAGUUCGUCCGCCGGACUCGGAAUGGCCCCAGACUUUGCGGGCGGCCUCCGUGUGCCAAAAUUAGGCCACGGGCACAGCCGCGCCCAAAAAUCAGCCCCCGAAGGUCGGGGCGCCAAGACCCCCCAGCGGAAAAAUGGCCAAAAAACGGGUGGGCUAUAGCCUUGGUGGGGGGCGUGGUCGAAGUUCGUCCGCCGGACUCGGAAUGGCCCCAGACUUUGCGGGCGACCUCCGUGUGCCAAAAAUAGGCCACGGGCAAAGCCGUGCCCAAAAAUGAGCCCUGAAUGGCGGGGCGCCAAGACACCCCAGCGGAAAAAUUGCCAAAAAACGGGUGGGCUAUAGCCUUGGUGGGGGGCGUGGGCGAAGUUCGUCCGCCGGACUCGGAAUGGCCCCAGACUUUGCGGGCGGCCUCCGUGUGCCAAAAAUAGGCCACGGGCAAAGCCGUGCCCAGAAAUGAGCCCCUGAAUGUCGGGGCGCCAAGACACCCCAGCGGAAAAAUGGCCAAAAAACGGGUGGGCUAUAGCCUUGGUGGGGGGCGUGGGCGAAGUUCGUCCGCCGGACUCGGAAUGGCCCCAGACUUUGCGGGCGGCCUCCGUGUGCCAAAAUUAGGCCACGGGCACAGCCGUGCCCAGAAAUGAGCCCCUGAAUGUCGGGGCGCCAAGACACCCCAGCGGAAAAAUGGCCAAAAAACGGGUGGGCUAUAGCCUUGGUGGGGGGCGUGGGCGAAGUUCGUCCGCCGGACUCGGAAUGGCCCCAGACUUUGCGGGCGGCCUCCGUGUGCCAAAAAUAGGCCACGGCCACAGCCGCGCCCAAAAAUCAGCCCCCGAAGGUCGGGGCGCCAAGACCCCCCAGCGGAAAAAUGGCCAAAAAACGGGUGGGCUAUAGCCUUGGUGGGGGGCGUGGGCGAAGUUCGUCCGCCGGACUCGGAAUGGCCCCAGACUUUGCGGGCGGCCUCCGUGUGCCAAAAAUAGGCCACGGCCACAGCCGCGCCCAAAAAUCAGCCCCCGAAGGUCGGGGCGCCAAGACCCCCCAGCGGAAAAAUGGCCAAAAAACGGGUGGGCUAUAGCCUUGGUGGGGGGCGUGGGCGAACUUCGUCCGCCGGACUCGGAAUGGCCCCAGACUUUGCGAGCGACCUCCGUGUGCCAAAAAUAGGCCACGGGGAAAGCCGUGCCCAGAAAUGAGCCCCUGAAUGUCGGGGCGCCAAGACCCCCCAGCGGAAAAAUAGCCAAAAAACGGGUGGGCUAUAGCCUUGGUGGGGGGCGUGGGCGAAGUUCGUCCGCCGGACUCGGAAUGGCCCCAGACUUUGCGGGCGGCCUCCGUGUGCCAAAAAUAGGCCACGGCCACAGCCGCGCCCAAAAAUCAGCCCCCGAAGGUCGGGGCGCCAAGACCCCCCAGCGGAAAAAUGGCCAAAAAACGGGUGGGCUAUAGCCUUGGUGGGGGGCGUGGGCGAACUUCGACCGCCGGACUCGGAAUGGCCCCAGACUUUGCGGGCGGCCUCCGUGUGCCAAAAAUAAGCCACGGCCACAGCCGCGCCCAAAAAUCAGCCCCCGAAGGUCGGGGCGCCAAGACCCCCCAGCGGAAAAAUGGCCAAAAAUCGGGUGGGCUAUAGCCUUGGUGGGGGGCGUGGGCGAAGUUCGUCCGCCGGACUCGGAAUGGCCCCAGACUUUGCGGGCGGCCUCCGUGUGCCAAAAAUAGGCCACGGGCAAAGCCGUGCCCAGAAAUGAGCCCCUGAAUGUCGGGGCGCCAAGACACCCCAGCGGAAAAAUGGCCAAAAAACGGGUGGGCUAUAGCCUUGGUGGGGGGCGUGGGCGAAGUUCGUCCGCCGGACUCGGAAUGGCCCCAGACUUUGCGGGCGGCCUCCGUGUGCCAAAAUUAGGCCACGGGCACAGCCGUGCCCAGAAAUGAGCCCCUGAAUGUCGGGGCGCCAAGACACCCCAGCGGAAAAAUGGCCAAAAAACGGGUGGGCUAUAGCCUUGGUGGGGGGCGUGGGCGAAGUUCGUCCGCCGGACUCGGAAUGGCCCCA
rnacentral:lncRNA from 1 species